rnacentral:rRNA from 1 species
AGGGAAUAGCCUUGCGAAAGUUAAGAUUAAUGCCCUAUGUGGNGUUUUGAGGACAUCUGAAGAGCACCAAAGGUUUACCGCUUAACGAUGGGGAUGCGUCUGAUUAGCUUGUUGCGGGGUAACGGCCACCAAGGCGACGAUCAGUAGGGGUUCUGAGAGGAAGGUCCCCCACAUUGGAACUGAGACACGGUCCAAACUCCUACGGGAGGCAGCAGUGAGGAAUAUUGGUCAAUGGGCGAGAGCCUGAACCAGCCAAGUAGCGUGCAGGAUGACGGCCCUAUGGGUUGUAAACUGCUUUUAUAAGGGAAUAAAGUGGGUCUCGUGAGACUUUUUGCAUGUACCUUAUGAAUAAGGACCGGCUAAUUCCGUG